CCCUCCUGCCAGCCAGCAGGGCCACGCGCCUGUGGCUGAGCUUUGGUCACAUCUGUCAGCUCAUACCGUAAAACACCGACUUUCUGGAAUCCCCAUGGGCUGACUCAUUGUGGAGAGAGCUGAGGACUUACUCUUUAAAGCACCCAAAACUUUAGAGGGUAAAAAAAUUUCUAUUACCCUUGUAGUGACAUGUGUUAAUGGAUCACAGCUAUGUUGGCUUUCCAAGGGGAGUACAUUGGGUAUAACUCAGCCUGACCUUGACAAUGGAGGACAUCACCAUGAAUAUCCAUUAUUAUCCCAGGUUGUGUACAGUCAUUCUCUUGGGAUAUUUUGAAGUGUGGUAGAAAGGGGUUUCCACUAAACUGAAUAGUUCCAGAUCACUGGACUUUCUUAGUACUUCUCUGUGCUUCUUUUAAUAUUAUUUUUGCCUUCUCCCUUACAAUGAGCAUUAUCUUUGCUUGUCUUUAUUUGUCUCUUAUUCUCUCCAAAUCCCUUUAACUUGCCUUUUCUCUUCUACUAAAGACAGCCAAGCUCUGUAAAAUAGGUUGUAAAAUAAGAACAAAUAACACUUUUAAAGGGUAAAUUUUAUGAUAUGUGAAUUAUAUCUCAGUAGAGCUAUUUUUAAAGUGAAUUGCUGACUAUAAAAUCUUGCAAAAGGUGAGAUAUCAUAUCAUUCUGUUUAUAUUGAUAAUAAACUAUUUCACUCUUUUGUUCAAAAUAUAAAAGCACAAAUAGACUCGGUGAGGACCUAGCAUUUUUUUCCCCAUAAGUGAUAUACCUGAGAGUUAAGGUAUAGUCUCUGAAAUAUCUGUUUUGUUCACCUGACCUUUUGGAUUAGUUCUUAUCCUAUAAGUAAAGUUAAUUUGAAUGAGAUGUAGUAUGACUCUGGAUUUUUUUUAUUAAAGCCUCUUCCCUCUCCCUUUGUUCAUUCAUUUGGCAUUUUUAGUAGCAAGUCCUACUAUGUGUUAGGUCCUAGAAAUAAACAUGAAUCCCUAAGUGACUCAGAUCUUCCUUAGAUGAAUUUCAGGUAUAAAUCUCUAGGAAGUAUGAGUUUUGAUGCUUCUUUGAUUUGCAAUCCCAUAAUAUCUCCAUGAUCCCCAAAUCUAGUCAGUCCCCAGCGAAACAUCACAACUAACUGAGAGGCCAGCCCACUUCUGGAAAGCUGGUCCAUGGAGUGGGUAGCCUUGAUCAGAGGAGAAUGCUGAGAAGUGAGCAAGAGCUACUUUCAGUUGUUGUAUUCUCCAGUAUUUUUCCAUGGAGCACCCAGAACUGUGUUAUUCAAAGUAUUGCUCAGACCAGCAGCAUCAGUAUCACCUGGCAGCUUGUAGGAAAUACAGAAUCUUAUUCUCCACCCAAGACCUAUUAAAUUAGAAUCAGCUUUUUAAAAAGAUCCUCAAGUGAUUCAUAUGCUCAUUAACGUUUGAAGAGCUGUGAGCUAGGAAAUAUUGUACACGAGCAUGCCUGAAACACCUGGCACUUUACCCACCACCAUAACCACAUCUUUCAGAGCCCUGGAUGAACAAUGCCAAACAUAAGAAGCCACCACUUGACACAGAGGCACAUCCCAUUGGCCAGUAGGUAGAGAUGGUCUUGAUGAUGCUGAGCAGAUGUUCAGCAUAUUUGUUGAGCAGGCAGAGACCACUGCUGUUCUCCUCACCAAGCCUGUCAGGUUCAAUAACUCUUUUCCAAUGACUCAUCUCUUCACACACAUGUGUUGUAAUUUUCUUUAAAGACCAGCUUGUCAGCAGCAUUCAAAGCUGGGUGUUUUUCCUUUGUUGCAAAACUUCAUCCGUAUUCCUGGAAACAUCCCCCAGCUCAAAUUCAACUCAAGUCUUCCUGACACCAUCUCAUUCAUCCACUCAUUCACUUGAAAAGUACUUUCUGAGCACUGACUAUGCGCCAGGCACUGCCAGCAUCUGCAUUUUCCAUUCAGUGACCACUAUGUAAACCACUUAGUUUCCACAUCUUACAGAAGACAGGAAAUUUAUUUUUGAAGUAUGAAAUACAACUUCUAUCCUUAAUGAACUAAUGCUAUAAUUGAAAAGGCAAGGUUUAAAAUUUUGAAGUUUAUGGAAAACAAAUUUUUAAGAACUCAAAAAGGUGAUACGUGCUGUACUAGAACCAGGGCUGGAUGGUCCUCAGUCAGAAGAUCUGGGACCAGGUUCUGGUUCCUCCAUUAAUCUACUUCAACCUUUUUGACACGCUAUUUUGCCUUUCUACAAUUUUCUCAACUACUUUAAAAAAACAAGAUAUUAGACUAUCUGAUCUUAAAAAAUAAUUCUUCCUUGUCUCCAGUAUCCAAAUACCCAAGGAUGCAUCCUGAACUACGUAUAUAAACUCUGAUCGACUUCAAGGUAAGAAAGCAUGGAGUCAACAGGCAAUGGUAUUUGUCAUGAUUAAGAGUUCUGGUUUUGAUAGCAGACAAAUCUAUAUGCAAAUCCUUGAUGCGAUAUAAACUUAAUACUCUUGAGGCCUUAGACAAGUCACUCAAUCUCUUUGAUCCUCAUGAUCCUCAGUUUUCUCAUUAGUUACGUGGGGAUGAUAAUAGAACCUCCCCAUAGACUUAUUAUGAGAAUUAAAUGUAAUUCAUGUAAAGCCCUUAGCACAGUGUCCAAUGUAAAUGGUGUGCUGAUAGAUGACAAUGAUGGUGUUGGUGGUGAUGAUAGCAGUAUUCUCAGGGUCUUUUAAAGCACACAGCCUUUCCAAUAAGGAUAAACUUCAAUACUAAAUUGGAAGAAUUGAUAGGAUAUGGAAUAAAUUACAAAGAAACUGACCCGCUGACAGCAGAGAAGAUGAAGGAAAGAAUAAUACAAGUAGGGAAGAUGGGAAUGCAGUAACCAUUUGCAGGUAAGUGAAUGGACAACUUUGUGGACCAGAAUGGAUGGGAAAGGAAAAACUUGGUUUGAUAGAAAGCGUUGGACAUGAUGAAGCAGCACUUGAGUGUGGUGGCUCUGGCAUCUCUGUGCAAAGGGGAGUUGAGAGACUGAAGGAAGGGAGACCAGCCAGGUGUCUACUGGGUCCUCACUUCUGGGCAAAAUGUCACGAGCUGGACAACAGGGCAAAAAGUCAGGGAGAAAAAAGCAAUCCUCUGGAGCUCAACAAGUGUCUCUUCAAAGACCCUCCCCAAGAAAUUCCUCUUGGCCUCCUACACACACAUGUUUAGCAUUUCUUCCCACCCCAAUUAAAGCUGAAAGAAACACAUGACCUUGCCCAUGUGUAUGAAGGAGAAGCUGAGAUCACAUCCUGUCUCUGAGUUCUGAGUCAGAGAAUCCCGGAAGAGCAUAUUGAGAGUUACUAAAUAGACCAUGUCCCUUUCAGCCUGCCUGUAGUCAGAGAUCUGGUUGGAUAAGAAUAGGACCCAAGCCCUCCAGGCAUGGCAGGGCCUCUGCAGCACCAUGUGGUUGCUAUUACUGACUCUAAAUAAAGAGCCAAGCACUUGUAUAGGCUCUGUCCCUCUUCAUCUCCUUCGUGGUCUGCACCCCAGGGCUGUCCAGGAAGAACAGAAUCUGCCCAGUGGAGCCAUCCAAGGCAACUACUGUUCCCCAGAGCCACCAUAGAUGUGGAAUUAGGAAAUAAUUUGGCUUAAUUACAGACCAGAUUAACCAGAACUUUGCUCCUGGGGCUGUCACUGGUUGUCCCUUGGCAUGCUUCACUUGGGCUCAGUGCACUCUUGGGUAUAAGCUCUUCUCUACAGCUCCCUGGAUGGUAAACAUGGCCCUGGCUGUGUAUGAGAAACAAAGAAGCUGUCAUGGGAUAUACAGAGCUGUGCCAGGUGAGGUGGACAUCAGUGGGAGGACUGGUCAGCAUUCCUCCAGCACAUGACCACACUCCCACAAGUCCAUGGCAGGACUCAAGCUUGACUUUCUCUCCCACAGUCCCAGUCAUCUUCUGUCCAAAAAAAACAAAGAUAAAAACAAAAGAUGUGAUGGGAGAUGGAAAUGGAAGUAAGCUUUCAAAGCAGCACGUGUGGCAUGUCCCCCAAGGCCAUAACCAGGUAAAGAAUUGAGGCAGUUAUGCAAGUAACGAACAGAAUGGUUGCGUUGAGACUCUCACAGGAAGAGUCUCCUCAAUUCUUUUCUUUCUUAGCCUUAACUCAUGUAUUCAGUGAGCAAUUACUGAGUACUGACUGUAUCACGGCUUUAGGUAUUUUGAAGGAUUCCACAAAGUCCCUAGUAUUCUCUGCAGUAGGUGUGACAUAGGGAGAAAGAGAAGACAUCCCCAAGACAAUGACAUUUGAGUGGGAUCAUGGGUGAUGAGUAAGGUGCCCCAGCCAGAAGGGGAGUCAGGCCAGGUGGAGAGGACUGCACAGUGAAAGGCCUGAUGGGAGAUAGCUCAUUCCUUUAGUGACAGGAGAGGGGAGAAUCCGCUGCUGCUUAUAGAGCCCAGCAAUCCAAUACUCCUAGUGAGUGGAGCUCAAUCCUUCUAAAUCCUGUCUCAGUCUCCCUUCUCCCCACUAAUGUUCCUGAAGGUAUCUCCCAUAUAGGGAGUAACCAGUUAUCCUGGAAGUGAGGAUCUCUUUGUUGCUAAAUGGCUUUCUCUAUUUGUUCUUUGCUGAUCCCACCCCUCCCUAAGUCACAGCACCAACGCUAACACUAAAUGCACUAAACCUUCAGCACUAACAUCAGCUGAAACUGAGACUUUAUUUUCUAGAUAGAAACGGGCUUGAUGGUACAACUCAGAAAUAUGCAAAAUGGUGUGAUCAGGGCCGGAAGGUCCACAGCCAUGUCCAAUACGCUUCCUCAAGAAGUGUGGUAAGGAGUUCCCGUUGUGGCUCAGUGGGUUAUGAACCUGACUAGUAUCCAUGAGAAUGCAGGUUCAACCCCUGGCCUUGCUCAGUGGUUUAAGAAUCUAGCAUUGCCACAAGCUGGAGCAUAGGUUGCAGAUGGGCUCGAAUCUGGCAUUUCUGUGGCUGGCAGCUACAGCUCCAAUUCGACUCCUAGCCUGG
rnacentral:lncRNA from 1 species